AGUCACUGACAUUAGAUACCCGUGUAGUCCAGGGUGUAAACGCUGCAGACUUUGGUGUUGGAAGCCCUUUGGGGGCAUUCAGUGCCGGAGAGAAGUUGUUAAGUCUGCUACUUGGGGAGUACGUCCGCAAAGGAUGAAACUUAAAGGAAUUGCGGGGAGCACCGCAACGGGAGGAGCGUUGCGGUUUAAUUGGAUUCAACACCGUAAAACUCACCAGGGAAGACUGUUACAUGAAGGGCCCGAGAUGAACGACUCUGCUAGAUUUUCAG
rnacentral:rRNA from 1 species